GAUGAACGCUGGCGGCGUGCCUAAUACAUGCAAGUCGAGCGAAGCGGGGAAGGGUGAGUAACACGUGGAUAACACCUUUAAAGACUGGGAUAACUUCGGGAAACCGGAGCUAAUCCGGAUAUUUAUAGAUGGAUCCAUGCUGCAGUAGCUAGUUGGUAAGGUAACGGCUUACAAAGGCAACGAUGCAUAGCCGAUCUGAGAGGGUGAUCGGCCAAACUGGAACUGAGACACGGUCCAGACUCCUACGGGAGGCAGCAGUAGGGAAUCUUCCGCAAUGGGCGAAAGCCUGAUGGAGCAACGCCGCGUGAGUGAUGAAGGUCUUCGGAUCGUAAAACUCUUUUAUUAGGGAGGCGGUACCUAAACAGAAAGCCACGGCUAACUACGUGCCAGCAGCCGCGGUAAUUC
rnacentral:rRNA from 1 species